AACGGCCUACGGCCGCUACUACUACUACGUAGUAGUAGUAGCCGACCUACGGUCGGAGGAGACUACGUCUGCACUAACGGCCUACGGCCGCUACUAGUACUACGUAGUAGUAGUAGCCGACCUAAAAAAGGUGCGUAUCGUGGCCGCUAGAUGGCGUUCGUGGUUGGUGAUAAUUUUCUGCGAAAAAAAAUGAAUGGCCCUAGCCGAGGUGCUGAAAUUUUAGGGCGUAAUUUGGCGUUCCGUAGAGGGCCGUAAUAGUCCCUCUGGGAUGUAGCGGUGACGGUCGACCCUUCGAGAAUCGAGACCGUCUCGCAAGUUGGUUGUGCCACUGCUGCAUAUUUACAAGACAUCUAGGGGAGAAAUAACCAACUCAGAAACUUUUUCAUGGCAAUAUCAGCUGUUUCAUUUCGGGUUUGGCGUCUGCUGAGAAUACCUGUGUCACUGAAGUUUUGUUAAACUUAGACUCCUGAUGUCGUGUGGUUUUACCUGGAAUUAAGCGUAGGUUUUCCAUUCUAUGCUUCGCAAUAGGUCCACUUUAAAGUAAAAUUAUACUUAGUUGAAGGUACUAUGGCACUAAUUUAUUUCUAACAAACAUUGUACAAUACUUAUUGAAAAUUGUUUGAAGUAGAAGCAUGGACUGACUUUACCAGCACGUUUUUCAUCUCAUUUAGUCAAAUGCAUAAAACUUUUAUACCAAUGGCACUCUUUAAAGAAAACAGUUAUUCAUAUUCUUUUUAAACGACUUAGAACUGUGCCCUAUGUGCUGUGAUGGCCACAGGACCUUUUUGUGACAGAAUGCAAUGCCACAGAUGUUUUUGUUGGCAAUGUAAAACAAGAUCACUAGUGCCACUCUUGUGUUGAUGAUUUGCUAGCUCACCUGUAAGAAGUAAAGGAUAGUUCAAGAUUUUGGCCUUGUCAUUUUGCUCAUUGUUGACUUAACUGUUUUUGUCACAUGGUAAAGGCCACUGUUAAAAAUGGGAAAAAACAAAAAUUUCCUAGUUUCUUGCAUGUACCAUAAGGUAAUGUUAGGAUUGAUCAUUAACAGUAUUUAUAUUUUAACUGUACAUUUAGGACUCAGAACUGUGCCCGAUGUGCUGUGAUGGCCACAGGACCUUUUUGUGACAGAAUGCAAUGCACAUAUGUUUUAUUGCCAAUGUAAAUAAAAGAUCACUAGUGCCA